AAGCUGCGUCUUCAGUUCCAGUCGCUUGUUGUCGUUCUGACGGUCUCGUUCUGUGACCGUGCGCCGUUCCGUGCUUGCAAAGAGUGUUGGAAAAUUAUUAAAAAAAAAAAAAAAAAGAAGAGCCACAUUAAAAAAUCAGUACACAACAGAUAACAACCGCAACGGUGUUCUUUCAAUUGUGCUGCAUACCAAAAAUUCCCCAAAAAAAAAAACAUAUAACAUACAUAUAAUAAAAAAAAUCAAGCUAGUCGAAAGCUUAGCGCGUGUUUUAGCUCGUUCGAAUCGUAAAUUUAUACAAUUCAAUUGAAAUAAAAUAUAUUUGAUAAAAAUGCAGUACAUCUAUGUGAUUAGCGCGCUAAUUUUGGCAAUUGCCGUGCAGCAAGGCGCUGCCAUCAAGUGUUUUGUGUGCAACAGCCAUAAGGAUGCCAACUGUGCGCUGGACAUACCGCCAGAUAAUCUGCUGAAGGACUGCCAGGAGGAUUACUCGACGCGCGGCAAGGGCAUACCCACCUAUUGCCGCAAGAUCACACAGAUCAUUGAGUUCUCCGUGAACAGCCUGCCGCCAGAUAGCCGUGUGAUACGCACCUGCGGCUUCCAGAAUCAAACAUCGACCAAUUAUUGCUAUCAGCGCGCCGGCUUUGGCGGCCGCCAGGUGGUCUGCUCCUGUGAUACGGACAACUGCAAUGGCGCCGCAGCGCUGAGCGGCGUCUCCGGCCUGGUCCUGCUGGCCACCGUGGGAAUCCUUGUGGGCGCCUGCAACUGGUUGCAGCGUUAGGUGCCAAUCGGUUCGGAUUGGGCGACGCUUCAGUUUGUGUUUCUUUUCGUUUUCCCAACAUGUCGUACUUUGUUUUUCCCAUGAUAAUCCCUAAGUUCUGCGCCAUUUCCCCAGCCGUCUCAGCAAUUUUCAGCCCCUCAGCUGCUGCAAUCUCGGCUCAGUUCCAGCCAAUAUUUUUUUUCUCUAUAUCUCAAUGUCCUACGGCAAAAGCUUUAUAAUAAAAAAAAAAUAUUUGAAAACUCUUUGAUUGUAUAUAAAAAGAAAAGAAAAUAUAAAAUAAUAACCAUAAAAAUUGGCCAAUAAAAGCAUAUUUCAAAUAACAAGAAUUCUGAAACUAAAGUAUUAAAAAUAAAUAAAAAUUUUUAAAAAACCUACCGCAGUUAAUGAAAAUAAGUAUUCAAAGUCCCACUAUAAAAACGAUUGAUUAAAUAAAUUAUAAAAUUGUUGUAACUAAGGCUAUAAAUAUAAAUAUAUAAAGCAAACAAAUUUUAAACAAAUUAAAGAAAACCGUAGUCAAUACAUAUAAAAUAAAUGUUAACACUUUUGUCUGAGUUGCCCUUUUUUUAUUUUCAUAAGAACAUUUUCUAAAAAAGAAAAACUAACAACAAAAAAAACAAAGACAACUAAAUCAAUUGCAUAAAUUAAACGAAUUAUUAGUCCAAUUGAAAUGAAAUGAAACAAAUUGCCGCGCCCCAAAUCAAAUCCUUUAGGCUAAGCUAAACCCGCUUCAAGGACAAAACGCCUCAUGCACUCAAAGAAAAAAAAACAAAAAAGAAAGAAA